rnacentral:rRNA from 1 species
GGAGUCUAGCAUGUGCGCGAGUCAUUGGGACCAUGACUAAACCUAAAGGCGCAAUGAAAGUGAAGGUCCGCCGAGCGCGGACCGAGGGAGGAUGGGCGGCCCCGAGGGACCGCCCCGCACUCCCGGGGCGUCUCGAUCUCAUCGCGAGAUGAGGCGCACCCAGAGCGUACACGCUGGGACCCGAAAGAUGGUGAACUAUGCCUGGUCAGGACGAAGUCAGGGGAAACCCUGAUGGAGGUCCGUAGCGAUUCUGACGUGCAAAUCGAUCGUCGGAACUGGGUAUAGGGGCGAAAGACUAAUCGAACCAUCUAGUAGCUGGUUCCCUCCGAAGUUUCCCUCAGGAUAGCUGGCGCUCGCUUCUCGCGAGUCUCAUUCGGUAAAGCGAAUGAUUAGAGGCAUUGGGGUCGAAACGGCCUCAACCUAUUCUCAAACUUUAAAUGGGUGAGAUCUCCGGCUUGCUUGAACUGUGAAGCCGCGAGAUAUCGGAUCAGAGUGCCAAGUGGGCCACUUUUGGUAAGCAGAACUGGCCCUGUGGGAUGAACCAAACGCAGAGUUAAAGCGCCUAAAUCCACCCUUAUGGGAUACCAUGAAAGGCGUUGGUAACUUAAAACAGCAGGACGGUGGCCAU